CCUACGGGAGGCAGCAGUCGAGAAUCAUUCACAAUGGGGGAAACCCUGAUGGUGCGACGCCGCGUGGGGGAAUGAAGGUCUUCGGAUUGUAAAGCUCUGUCUUCAGGGACGAUAAUGACGGUACCUGAGGAGGAAGCCACGGCUAACUACGUGCCAGCAGCCGCGGUAAUACGGAGGUGGCGAGCGUUGUCCGGAUUUACUGGGCGUAAAGGGAGCGUAGGCGGACUUUUAAGUCAGAUGUGAAAUACUCGGGCUCAACUUGAGUGCUGCAUUUCAAACUGGAAGUCUAGAGUGCAGGAGAGGAGAAUGGAAUUCCUAGUGUAGCGGUGAAAUGCGUAGAGAUUAGGAAGAACACCAGUGGCGAAGGCGAUUCUCUGGACUGUAACUGACGCUGAGGCUCGAAAGCGUGGGGAGCAAACAGGAUUAGAUACCCGUGUAGUC
rnacentral:rRNA from 1 species